GACGAACGCUGGCGGCGUGCUUAACACAUGCAAGUCGAACGGAAAGGCCCCUUUGGGGGUCCUCGAGUGGCGAACGGGUGAGUAACACGUGAGUAACCUGCCCUUGACUUCGGGAUAACUUCAGGAAACUGGGGCUAAUACCGGAUAGGAAUCCUUGCUGCAUGGUGGGGGUUGGAAAGCUUCGGCGGUUUUGGAUGGACUCGCGGCUUAUCAGCUUGUUGGUGGGGUAGUGGCUUACCAAGGCUUUGACGGGUAGCCGGCCUGAGAGGGCGACCGGCCACAUUGGGACUGAGAUACGGCCCAGACUCCUACGGGAGGCAGCAGUGGGGAAUAUUGCAUAAUGGGCGGAAGCCUGAUGCAGCAACGCCGCGUGCGGGAUGACGGCCUUCGGGUUGUAAACCGCUUUCAGCAGGGGCGAAGCUUGUGGUGACGGUACCUGCAGAAGAAGCACCGGCUAACUACGUG
rnacentral:rRNA from 1 species